ACUAUGACAUGAUAUGAGUUGGAUCUAUGAGUCAAUUAUUAAAAUAGAAGACAUUUGAAUUGCAUUGGUUUUCAGCAAUCCUUGAUGCUAAAAAACACACCAUUUGAAACCAAAUAUGAAAGGAACAUGGCAUAAACGAAGAGGAGGGGGGAGUUAUAUGAACAAAUUUUGAAAUUAACGAUUGGUUUGGUUCAAGAAGCACGACUACUCCUUGAAGUUCAAGAAGCACACCCAAAAGGGGAAGCUGCUAAACUACAUGGUGGUGAAGCAGAGGUACUUUGAUAUGGAGGUUUUUUCGGUGAACGAUGACCACCCCUCACAUGACAUGGCGAUCGGGCAGAUGUUCGUGAAGGAGGUAUACGAGGUUUUGAGGAAGAGUCCGCAGUGAGAGGAGAUAGCGGUGUUGAUUACUUACGACAAGCAUGGUGGGUUUUAUGAUCAUGUGGCGACGUCGGUGGAAGGGGUGCCUAACCCCGAUAGGAUCGUUGGGCCUCACCCUUAUUACUUUCGGUUUGAUAGGUUACGGGUGAGGGUGCCCAUGUUUAUUAUCUUGCCUUGGAUCGACAAGGGUACUGACGGAUGGGAAAAUCGUUGGGUUUAAUUAGAUUGGAAAAAAGAUGAGAACAUGGCUGGGGAGUGGAACCACACCUCUGGUCAAUGGAAUGGAGACGCUAAUGACAAAGGUAUUCAAACAAGAGAGGAUUACAGAUUCUAUGCUAUUUUAGCUGAAUACCCUGAAUUCAACAACAAGGAUAAGAUACUACUCUUCCAAUUUUCUGUCAAGCAUGAAUAGAAGCUUGAUUGCGGUGGUGGCUACAUGAAGUUGCUCAAUGGUGAUGUUGAUCAAAAGAAAUUUGGAAUGUAGCACAGGUGAUCCACCAAUAGAUUUUGAAUAUUUUGAAUAUGCUUUGAUAUCAUAUUAGAAUAGAGAAAGAAAUAAUUUAUUUCUCUAAUAAUGUUUGAAUGAUACAUCUACUGAUUUAUAGACAGAAUUAGUCCCAAAGAGGAAACCAAAUCUACUAUAAUCAGGAAAAUUCGUGAAGCAAUAAAUAGCCUAUUAUCUAUGGUCUGAUUAUAAUCCAUAUUUUAUUCAAAUCUGAUUCUGAAUAGAUUUAUUACAAAAUGAAAUCAAUGCAUAAAUUUGUAAAUAAUUGAUACUCAAUUAAGGAUAUACUUGCAACAUAUCCAAGCUGCAAAUGAAAGAAGAGAGAACAAAUCCAGAAAUUCAGUUUUAUCAUUCUAGUUUCUUCACAGCUACAUAAUUGAACAUUGUUGACUUUUCUAAUGGUGUAUUUAUUAUAUGAAUUAUUAUUAACAUUAAAAAGUUGGUUUCGGGAGACCUUGCAAUUUGUCAGAGGAAGCCAUAGAAGUCCCCCAACAACACAUUUUUACUAAAUGAUUCUCAACUAAAGGCUUUUAGUUUAUUUACUCUUGAUUUACAAAGAGCAUAUGCCUGUAUUUUGUCCUGUUUUACCCUGUAUCCUUGGCAACUGCAUGGAAGUUCCAAAUGAAUGUUGGUUGUUGCACUAGCACUACACACCAACCAGAUAUAUAGAUUAAUGCUUAGUACUUGUAACAACAAUAGAAAAUACUAGGUAGUUGCUAUAUUAUUGGCACAAUAAAUUGACAUGCAUUUUGACUUUCAUGAAUGAGUGCAUCAUAUCAUUUUUAUCUCAUCAAUAACUACCCUUGCAUUUAGCUGAAUUUAAUUAAAUUUCUUCCUCCGACUAUGUAACUCUGAACUAUUAAAUUGCAUUACUCAUUUUAUGAGCAUGAAUAGAGAAAUAACAAAUUAAAUGAUUUUUUUGUACCUAUAUUUAAUUGUCUGGUAUCUACUUGUAUGUAGCACUAAUUUACUAGAUGACAUGAAUGAUUUCACCACUUCCUUGCUACUUUAAGGGGACAAACCCUUUACUAUGUUCUACCAUCGCACUCACUGUCAAAAAGGUCACACUAAGGUGGUUCUCCUCCCUAUCACAAAGUCUAUCAACUACUGGUGCAAGUUGUUUUAUGUUGUACUUCAUUACCAGCAAAGAGUAGACAAUAUCUUCCUAAGUCAAGCAAAGGUGAGAAGAAUUUUUGUAGUUACAUAUUAGAUUAAUUGUUGAUGCUGUAGCCUGAAGAUUGGGAUGUAAGUUUUUUCUAUUCACUAAUCUUUUUUAUCUAUGGUAUGCUAUUGAAAGGUAUGAUCUCCAUAAUGAAAUUGUGUUCUUGCAGGUUGAGAAGGCAACAUUUGAAGAGGCUAAGAAGAAGAGGGAAGAGGAAGUAAAUUUUUAUCCUGAAAACGCAUCUUUGAAAAUGUAUCUUUGGUGGCUCUAAUUGGUCAAUUUCAGAAUCCAGCCUGAACCUUGCAGUGGAAACAUGCCUGUUGCAUUUACUGUCUCUCGAUGUGUGAUUUUUUUUCCCCUUUAUUAAUAUAAUUGAGUUGUGACUAUAGGAGCUGAAACUAUUCACCGAGCAUGUCUUAGAGUGAGAAUUCCCCAUAAUUGGUUAGAGUGACAAGUUCCAUGGUCUACUGGUUUUUAUUCUUUAUCAAGUAACAUACAUAGUAUCUUCAACAUGUAAUUAUCUGCAUACAUUGUGGCACUAAAAUUCAUUUUAUAUUGUAAAUUUGAAACCCAAGACAUGUAUAGACAGCUCAGCUGUAGUGAUCAAAUUUGAAAAGGAGCCCAU